rnacentral:rRNA from 1 species
CAGUCGCCGCGGUAAUACGUAGGGUGCGAGCGUUAAUCGGAAUUACUGGGCGUAAAGCGUGCGCAGGCGGUUGUGUAAGACAGGUGUGAAAUCCCCGGGCUUAACCUGGGAACUGCGCUUGUGACUGCACAGCUAGAGUAUGGCAGAGGGGGGUGGAAUUCCACGUGUAGCAGUGAAAUGCGUAGAGAUGUGGAGGAACACCGAUGGCGAAGGCAGCCCCCUGGGCCAAUACUGACGCUCAUGCACGAAAGCGUGGGGCGCAAACAGGAUUAGAUACCCGCGUAGUCCCUGUCUCUUAUAC